GUCAAGUAAUAUUUUUAUGAUUUAUAUUAUUGCAAAUGUUUAUGUACGACUUAAGCCGAUUAAUUUUGUUACAGAAACAAUAUAUUUGUAGUUCGUGAUACUUAACAUCGUACAGGAUAACAUAUUAUACAUUACUUCAGGAAUUGAUUCAUAGUGGCGAUGACUUUUUGCUAUAAAGUAGUAAAUGGCUUUGGUGGCAAGCUACCAUUUAAGGUUACGUUUCCAUACAUGGUGGCGCCUCGCGUACCUGUAUUCAUAUAGUGCACAAGCGUUCAGGUCGAGUGAUAAAACUGCAAGCUGACUCACUUAUUCAAGCACAAGUUUUAUACUUUGGACAAAUAAUAACGCUACGAGUUAACUAAGUUUGCAUGCCCGGGUAAGCCCGAUUCUUUUAUCGUCGGAUCCAUAUGACAAAAAAUUUGAAAGAUGAAAUUCUAGUUUUAUUGAAAGAAAACAAUGAGAAGUAAGGUUUUGCUACGCAAAAAUCUCACUUGAAUGUAUUAAAAAAUAAUGGGACAACAAUGAAAAUAACACGAUGACGUAACAGCUUAGUAGUUCAUUAACACUUUGUCGUGGAUACAUGUAAAAAGAUCAGGAAGAAGAAACGACUCUCGUGUGACAUGCAAAGCGCGAGCAUUUACUUUGCCAGGGCUUCGUAGCGGUUCACUAUUCCGAGAUUGACCUUUCGUAUGCACAAAUGCCUCCAAAACGUACAAUAGAUCUUCCUGUUGGCCGACUGUUGACUCACAAGUUGACGCAUCCAUAUAUCGUACAAUAAUAUCAAUAGCCACUAUUGAAGUGCUUACAAACUUAAGAUUUUUUAUUAAUAUAGUUAAAAUGCAAUGCAAGGUAUUGUAAAAGAAUGAAAAAAUUGCAAAGAAAACAUAACGG